AUGGAUGGUACUACAUAGUGAUCACUACCAUCAGUUUGUGAAUGUGUAGGUGUGACAUGCAGAAAGAAGAAGAAAAGUACCUGGACAGGAUUUUCCCCUUUGUCAUAAUGAAGUCCUGUCCAGUGUGCUUUAAGACCCUAAGUUGCCUCCAUAAGCACCUGAGCAGCCAGUACUUGUGACUAACAAGGAGAAGAGGAUCCUGCUCACCAUGGCCAGUGGCAGGAUUAAUAUCCGAAAGGAGUGUCCUGUCACUGGCUGUGGGUUCUAGUUGACCUGGCUGUAUGUCCACCUUGCUAAGCAGAACAGCGCUGGCCUGGAGGUGGAGCACCUGAAAGGGGAGGGUGGCCUGGCUUACCUCAGGGCCACCAACCCCCACCCGGCUCUGUCCACUUGUCUGGACCAGCAAGAAGUGGGUGACUUCAUGUCAGGAAAUACUUACUCUAGUUAUUUCUCUAAACUACGUCUAUAUUUACCGCUACAUUAUACAUUUGAACACUGCCAGGAAACAUAGAAUAAAAGGUAAAAAUCCCACUCAGGGAACAUGGUCAACAAAUAACCAUGUUAGCUGGAAUUAGCUAAAAAUAUACAUGAAGCUUUUUACUGUAAUCUGUUAUCCUUGUGUUUGUGUUGAAGUGUGUCUUGAUGUUACAUUCUUGAGUUUCUGUGUCUUCAGUGUUUCUUGUAUUUACUGGGGUGGCUGUGGAUCAGUUGGUGGAGUUGUCGCCUCUUGACCAAAAGGUUAAGGGUUUGAUCCCCAGCUGAGCAACAGGUCCGAUGUGUCCUUGGGCAAGACACUUAACCCUGAAUUGGUCCCGCUGCUACUGUGGUGAUGACAAAAUCCAGACAGCAGACGGUUGUCCCCAAACACCAGAAGAGAUUGUAACAUGUUACCCUGGAAUAACCUCAAAUUCACCCAAAAACCCCCUUUCCUGUUUGCUGAUGAGAAAACACAACUCAUUGAUUAACUGUUUGAAAGAGACUUUGCAUUGGAAUUUCAAGAAAAUGUGCUCUAGACUAUCUCAAAACUGACGUAACAGCUGUUGAACAAUCUGUCCUAACCAAUAUACUCAAUUUCUGAUAUGAAAGACUGUCUCUUCAACCCCUGAAUUGGAGAUAUAUAAUUGAGACAUCAAGAGUAACAGUUUCAUGAGUUAGAUUCCGCUACGAAUCUAUGACGGCAUUAUACAUGUAGAAAGUCUUCUUAUAUUACCUGAUGAACUUUCACUAAAUCUUACGUGGAGCACGAUUGCCCCCUAGUGGCAAGAGCGCUGCACAAAUCUGAGUUUUAAAAUUAAAUUAUAAGUUAAUUAUGUUUUGUUAUAGGAGAUGAUAUUUGAAGAUAUGAUUUUAUACUUUUCAUACUAUAUUAAUGUAUUUUUGAGAAAGUUGAAUGUUAUAACACUGGUUUUAUUGUCAUACAGGCAGAAAUUGUCUGACUGUCCUCAGGUUUGAUGUAAUGCUUAUUCAUUGCACAUUUCUUUGAAGUGUUUAAUGUCUAAGAUAAUUCUACAUGUUUUUUUUAUUUCUUCAGUUAGUGUUAGUCCCUAUUCUAUUUAUUGUUAUUUACCGAAACACACAGUACUCUGUUCACAUUAUAUUUGGCAGUAAAGAUGAUCUUGAUUAAUUCA